rnacentral:rRNA from 1 species
ACAGGUCUUCGGAUGCUGACGAGUGGCGGACGGGUGAGUAACGCGUAGGAAUCUGUCUUUGAGUGGGGGGCAACCCAGGGAAACUUGGGCUAAUACCGCAUAAGCCCUGAGGGGGAAAGCGGGGGAUCUUCGGACCUCGCGCUGGAAGAGGAGCCUACGUCUGAUUAGCUAGUUGGUAGGGUAAAGGCCUACCAAGGCGACGAUCGGUAGCUGGUCUGAGAGGACGACCAGCCACACUGGGACUGAGACACGGCCCAGACUCCUACGGGAGGCAGCAGUGGGGAAUUUUUCGCAAUGGGGGCAACCCUGACGAAGCAAUGCCGCGUGAAUGAAGAAGGCCUUCGGGUUGUAAAGUUCUUUCGUGGAGGACGAAAAGGUGGGUGCUAAUAUCGCCUGCUGUUGACGUGAAUCCAAGAAGAAGCACCGGCUAACUCCGUGCCAGCAGCCGCGGUAAUACGGGGGGUGCGAGCGUUUAAUCGGAAUCACUGGGCGUAAAGGGUGCGUAGGCGGUGCAUUUAGUCUGUCGUGAAAUUCCCCGGGCUCAACCUGGGAAUGGCGGUGGAA